ensembl:lncRNA
CUCUCUCUCUCUCUUUUCAAUAUUUAUCGUGAACGUGAUAUGUAAGCCUAUAGGUUGUACUUUGGUACUUAGUGUGUCCAAUUGGUUUAAGCUUAAGGUAUACAUAAUAUGGUAUACUAAUAAUAUAUGGAGUUACUGGGUCACAUGACAUUGAUGCCAUUGAAAGCAAUACAAAUAUUUAUUUUUCAAAUAUUUAAGUAUGAAUUACAUUAGCAAUCAAAUAUGUGUGAUACAUGAACAAUUUAGUAAAACAUUUAAAUCAUAAUUUCCACUAAUACAAGCAAUUCAGCACGAACGUGCAUAUAUAUUUUUCUAACCUCCAUGUGACAUAGAAUAAAUAUAUUGCCUGGGUUGAACCAAGCCUUUCGCCUGAUUUGUUUCUAGGUCUGACAUACAAAAACUAUAACAUACUUCUGCAAAUUGACAUUUAUUUUCUCGUACUUUUUGUUUGUUUUGCAAUAACUAUUCAAUUGCCUUGUCCAAAACAGAAACGGCAUCACGUAGGCUAUAGGGUCAUUCCUUUCAACUGUGCUACACGUAUAUGCCUUAUUGUUUAUCAAUUGGUAUUUAUGAUGUGACAAUUGUUAAAUGUAACAAUAACUGGUAGUAUCCGUAAAACAAUAGGUUUAUUAGGAACCUCACUGUAGGCCUACCAACAGCGUUAUAUUGUUUUUUCCUUUUCGUCCGACAAAUGUAAUAAAUGUAAGUGGUUCUGGAUAAAAGCAUCUGCUUAAGGCCCUAAAUGUAAUCUAGAUGCAAACAUAGUCUCCAGAUAAUGAACAGAAUGUCAUUAUCUGGAGAUUCAUUAGUGAAUCUGGCCCCAGGUUUCUAGAGUGCACGCAAACCCAUUGAUCAGAGGAAAUACAGUGCAGCGGUAGACAACAGCAGGAGGAUGAAACUUGAUCCGAUGUUCUUUGCAUUGUUACACAAAUUGCCAAUGCAGCAAUCAUCGGUCGCUCCUUCGAGGCACGCAGCACUCGGAAAACACCCCUUUGUGGCUUGCCAUGCAAAACAAGAUGGUAGAUUAUUAUUUUUUCAUCAGUCUGGCCAUUUCAAUAUCCAUUUGGUAACACUGUUAAUAUCAUCUAAGCUGUAACAACUCAGAUAUUAAGAACACAAAGCAGAUACAGUGUAUUAUCAAUAGGGCCUACUUCUGGGGAUGCCCUAGAAAAAAAGCUUAAAAAAAGGAAAAAAGAAAGUAAAACACUUACCAAUGUCACCUGUUUUCAUGCUGAAACAGCGAUCCAUGUCGCUUGCACAAUCAACUUUCUUAAUGCAUUCCUUGGAAGGUUUGGCCGUACACGAGUAGCAACUUAAUCCCCCAACUACACAGAAACACAUUGUCAGUACAUCUCUGGAGAGGCGGGGUUGAAAGGUUAUUUUUUCCACCACAGAACGGAUUCAAAUAUUUACAUAAAAGUGAGUUUGUUGCUCAAGGACUUAUGAAUAAGGUGUUCUUACCGGUGGAUAUUGUCAAAGAAAGAACAAAGAAAAGGCAAACGAAGCCCAUCAUGUAAGCAGAUGAUAGAUGAGGCAGCUAGUGGAAGACUUAACCAAGAUGAGGUAAACGCUUUCUUUAUAGGUCCAUGGGUUAACGCCCUUCUCUAUUUCUUUAAAAACAAGACUUGAAUAAAGGAAACUGCUUCCCAAUGUGAAGGAAGCAUGCUCAACGGCCACCCUUUUAAGGACGCUACGUAAUAGAACACCGACAAGCACUGUCCCAAUGUUGAGAACACUCGGAAAUUUGCGCCCUUUUCGCGUGUUUUUUUUUUUACAAAUUGUGUAAGGAAAGCAAUGCACAUUGCUUUACACCAGUUAAGUUAUUUGAACGUUUUCAGAAACAUUUUGAGCCUUAUUGCUUUUUAUAGAUUCAUCAUGUAAAUGCAAA